rnacentral:lncRNA from 1 species
UAUCCAGAUUUUGGGAUGGGGGGGGGGACGACAGGUUUUGGGGUGCGCCCAAAUAUGGGGUCGGGGUGCCCAGGUCUGGAGGGGACCCAGAUUUGGGGUGGGGGUACUCAAAGUUGAGGGGGGGACUCAGGUUUUGGGGUGUGCCCAAAAAUGGGGUGGGGGUACCCAGAUUUGGGGGGAGGUACUCAGAGUUGGGGGGGGACCCAGAUUUGGGGUGGAGAUGCUGAGAGAUGGGGGGGGAGGGGACCCAGGUUUUGGGGUGCACACAGAUAUGGGGUCGGGGUGCCCAGAUCUGGAGGGGACCCAGAUUUGGGGUGGAGCUGCUGAGAGAUGGGGGGGGGACCCAGGUUGUGGGGUGCACGCAGGUGUAGGGGAUGUGCAGGUUUGGAGGAGAGCCGGGUUUUGGGGUGCGCCCAAGCAUGGGGUGGGGGGACCCAGUUUUUGGGGGGACCCAGAUUUGGGGUGGGGGGGGGAGGCGCCCGCUUUGGGGUCCCCUACCUGCGGUGGCGCAGAGCAGCACGAGGAGCAGCGCCCGCAGUGGGGUCGGGGCCAUGGCGGCUGUGUAGGGCCGCAGCUGGGAGCUCUUAUAGCCCCAGUGGGGUGGGGGGGGUUUGGGGCCGUGCCAGCACUGUGGGGACACGUGGCCCCAAUCGGGUCCGUGUCUCCAUCACCCCACAGCCCCGUGUCCCAUCAUCCCAUAACCCCACAACCCCACACCCCCUUUCCCCACGCCCCUACGUUGCCCCCCACGUCCCCAUACCCCCAUGUCCCCAAGCUUUCAUGUCCCCAUGUCCCCAAGCCCCCUGUCCCCCACAUCCCUUAUUCCCACACCCCAUAUCCCCGCGUCCCAUAUCCCAUAUCCCAGUAUCCCAUGUCCCCAGGCCCCCCACGUCCCCCCAUGUCCCCAUACCCCAUAUCCCAUAUCCCCAUUUCCCCAUAUCCCACAUCCCCAUGUUCCUCCAUGUCCCCAUGUCCCCCUCCCCCAUACCCCAAACCCCAUAUCCCAUAUCCCAUAUCCCCAUACCCCAUACCCCAUAUCCCACACCCCAUAUCCUAUAUCCCCUUUGUCCCCCCAUACCCCACACCUCACACCCCAUACCCCAUAUCCCUCU